rnacentral:rRNA from 2 species
AGCGUUGCCCCGGUUUAUUGGGCGUAAAGCGAGCGCAGGCGGUUUUUUAAGUCUGAUGUGAAAGCCUUCGGCUUAACCGGCAGAAGUGCAUCGGAAACUGGGAGACUUGAGUGCAGAAGAGGACAGUGGAACUCCAUGUGUAGCGGUGGAAUGCGUAGAUAUAUGGAAGAACACCAGUGGCGAAGGCGGCUGUCUAGUCUGUAACUGACGCUGAGGCUCGAAAGCAUGGGUAGCGAACAGGAUUAGAUACCCUGGUAGUCCAUGCCGUAAACGAUGAGUGCUAAGUGUUGGAGGGUUUCCGCCCUUCAGUGCUGCAGCUAACGCAUUAAGCACUCCGCCUGGGGAGUACGACCGCAAGGUUGAAACUCAAAGGAAUUGACGGGGGCCCGCACAAGCGGUGGAGCAUGUGGUUUAAUUCGAAGCUACGCGAAGAACCUUACCAGGUCUUGACAUCUUCUGCCAAUCUUANAGAUAAGACGUUCCCUUCGGGGACAGAAUGACAGGUGGUGCAUGGUUGUCGUCAGCUCGUGUCGUGAGAUGUUGGGUUAAGUCCCGCAACGAGCGCAACCCUUAUUAUCAGUUGCCANCAUUCANUUGGGCACUCUGGUGAGACUGCCGGUGACAACCGNAGGAANGUGGNGAUGAC